GAUGAACGCUGGCGGCGUGCCUAAUACAUGCAAGUCGAGCGAACAGACGAGGAGCUUGCUCCUCUGGCGUUAGCGGCGGACGGGUGAGUAACACGUGGAUAACCUACCUAUAAGACUGGGAUAACUUCGGGAAACCGGAGCUAAUACCGGAUAAUAUAUUGAACCGCAUGGUUCAAUAGUGAAAGACGGUUUUGCUGUCACUUAUAGAUGGAUCCGCGCCGCAUUAGCUAGUUGGUAAGGUAACGGCUUACCAAGGCAACGAUGCGUAGCCGACCUGAGAGGGUGAUCGGCCACACUGGAACUGAGACACGGUCCAGACUCCUACGGGAGGCAGCAGUAGGGAAUCUUCCGCAAUGGGCGAAAGCCUGACGGAGCAACGCCGCGUGAGUGAUGAAGGUCUUCGGAUCGUAAAACUCUGUUAUUAGGGAAGAACAAAUGUGUAAGUAACUAUGCACGUCUUGACGGUACCUUAUCAGAAAGCCACGGCUAACUACGUG
rnacentral:rRNA from 1 species